GAUAAACAUUCUGCGUAAUUGGUUAGCCCUCUUUAUUAUUUUAAAUUUUGUUUUUGGAUAAUUAUCAUUGUUGUAUGUUGGAAAUAAAAGGUAAACAUCCAACUUAGUUUCCUUAUCCUUUCUCCCUAUGUGUGGUAAUGUGUCUAUGCCUAUGCUUUGUCCUUUUUAUUUCUUAUGUGUUGCUUAUAUAUGUAUAUAUGCGAGUAAUUUGUUACUAUGAAUAUUUUACUUUACAAUCAGUAUUCCAUUGUAUACGUUUUUAUCUUACUUAUUCUAGUAGGUUUUGGACUUAAAGUUCAAGAUGAUGAAGAGUGGCCUAGAAGAAUUUUUGGACAAAGCUUUAUUUAUCUUAUAUUGUGUAUAUUUUCAUCUGUUAUUUUUAAUACAAUAUGUGUGUAACUCUAAAGCAAAUCUUAUAUAUGAAGCAAUUUGGGGGGAUC
rnacentral:misc_RNA from 1 species